rnacentral:rRNA from 1 species
UACGUAGGGGCCAAGCGUUGUCCGGAUUUAUUGGGCGUAAAGAGCUCGUAGGCGGUGUGUCGCGUCGGCCGUGAAAACCUGCAGCUUAACUGUGGGCUUGCGGUCGAUACGGGCAUCACUGGAGUUCGGCAGGGGAGACUGGAAUUCCUGGUGUAGCGGUGAAAUGCGCAGAUAUCAGGAGGAACACCGGUGGCGAAGGCAGGUCUCUGGGCCGAUACUGACGCUGAGGAGCGAAAGCGUGGGGAGCGAACAGG